ACUAGCACUUAAGGUUAAAAGUCACAAAAAUAGCACUUAAUGUUUUAUCAAAAGUCACAAACUUAGGGUUUAGAGUUAAAGGGUGGGGUUUAGGAUUUAGGGUUUAGGGUUUAGAGUUUAGGGUUUAAAUUUUAGGGUUUAGGAUUUAGAGUUUAGGGUUUAGGGUUUAGAGUUUAGGGUUUAUGGUUUAGAGUUUAGGGUUUAAAAUUUAGGGUUUAGGGUUUAGAGUUUAGGGUUUAGGGUUUAGAGUUGAGAAAUGAGGUUUUGGGUUUAAGAUUUCAAA
rnacentral:lncRNA from 1 species